CCUGCCUCACACAGGGGGAUAACAGUUGGAAACGGCUGCUAAUACCGCAUAAGCGCACAGUACCGCAUGGUACAGUGUGAAAAACUCCGGUGGUGUGAGAUGGACCCGCGUCUGAUUAGCUAGUUGGCAGGGUAACGGCCUACCAAGGCGACGAUCAGUAGCCGACCUGAGAGGGUGACCGGCCACAUUGGGACUGAGACACGGCCCAAACUCCUACGGGAGGCAGCAGUGGGGAAUAUUGCACAAUGGGGGAAACCCUGAUGCAGCGACGCCGCGUGAGCGAAGAAGUAUUUCGGUAUGUAAAGCUCUAUCAGCAGGGAAGAAGAAAUGACGGUACCUGACUAAGAAGCACCGGCUAAAUACGUGCCAGCAGCCGCGGUAAUACGUAUGGUGCAAGCGUUAUCCGGAUUUACUGGGUGUAAAGGGAGCGCAGGCGGAAGGCUAAGUCUGAUGUGAAAGCCCGGGGCUCAACCCCGGUACUGCAUUGGAAACUGGUCAUCUAGAGUGUCGGAGGGGUAAGUGGAAUUCCUAGUGUAGCGGUGAAAUGCGUAGAUAUUAGGAGGAACACCAGUGGCGAAGGCGGCUUACUGGACGAUAACUGACGCUGAGGCU
rnacentral:rRNA from 1 species